UUUGAGGGUGUAAAAAAUAUUAAAAUUUUUGUCCAAAUUAAGUCCAAUUAAUUUGAACAGUAAUAAUUGGAGAAUAGUAGUACAGUUAGUCUAUAUUUCAAUUUCAUUAAUAAUUUUAGAUGAAUAUAUAUUUUAGAAAAGAAUUAUUUGAUAUUUUUAAAUAAGUUUCACGUGCAUUGCACGUGCAUAUGACUAGUUUUUUAUGAAAGCGUGAGUUUUAAAUUUUUUCUUUCCAAAAUUGUCUUUAUCCUCUUUUACUAAUAUUUUUUUGUCAAGAAAUUUUCAACCAAUCAUUUCAAAUAAUUAACUAAGUAGUAAUUUAUUUCCAAAUAAAGAUAAAUAUUUUUCUUCUCACGCGUAAUAUCUACACUCGCCAAUUCUUUCGCCACGUAAUAUCCGUGAAUUUUUCAAAUAUCUCAUCAACAUAAUUAUAGGUGUCAUAUUUUCUAUCUACGCGUUUCUCAAAUAUUUUUCUUCUCACGCGUAAUACCCGCCAAUUUUUUCGCAACGUAAUAUCCGUGAAUUUCUCAAAUAUCUCAUUAAUCCGCAUACCAUUUGAAUUUAAUAAUAUAGUAAAGAGAAUAGAUACGAUGAUACGUGGAAAUCAUAUAGAAAGUCACGUUAGAAAAAAUGUCUCUAUCCUUUCUUACCAAUAUUUUUAUGUCCACUAAUUUUCAACCAAUAAUUUCAAAUAAUUAAUUAAUAAUUUCAAAUAAUUAAUUAAGUAAUAAUUUAUUUUCAAAUAAAAAUAAAUAAUUUUCUUCUCAUGCGUACCCGCCAAUUCUUUUACAACGUAAUAUCCAUAAAUUUUUUAAAUAUUUUAUUAAUCCACCUACUAAAUAGAAUAAAUUUUCUAAAAUAGUAAUAUCCACACAACAUAAUUAUAAAUUACUUUUAAAUAAAAUUUUCUUCA
rnacentral:lncRNA from 1 species